rnacentral:rRNA from 1 species
UGCAAGUCGAGCGGUAGAGAGAAGCUUGCUUCUCUUGAGAGCGGCGGACGGGUGAGUAAUGCCUAGGAAUCUGCCUGGUAGUGGGGGAUAACGUUCGGAAACGGACGCUAAUACCGCAUACGUCCUACGGGAGAAAGCAGGGGACCUUCGGGCCUUGCGCUAUCAGAUGAGCCUAGGUCGGAUUAGCUAGUUGGUGGGGUAAUGGCUCACCAAGGCGACGAUCCGUAACUGGUCUGAGAGGAUGAUCAGUCACACUGGAACUGAGACACGGUCCAGACUCCUACGGGAGGCAGCAGUGGGGAAUAUUGGACAAUGGGCGAAAGCCUGAUCCAGCCAUGCCGCGUGUGUGAAGAAGGUCUUCGGAUUGUAAAGCACUUUAAGUUGGGAGGAAGGGCAGUUGCCUAAUACGUAACUGUUUUGACGUUACCGACAGAAUAAGCACCGGCUAACUCUGUGCCAGCAGCCGCGGUAAUACAGAGGGUGCAAGCGUUAAUCGGAAUUACUGGGCGUAAAGCGCGCGUAGGUGGUUUGUUAAGUUGGAUGUGAAAUCCCCGGGCUCAACCUGGGAACUGCAUUCAAAACUGACUGACUAGAGUAUGGUAGAGGGUGGUGGAAUUUCCUGUGUAGCGGUGAAAUGCGUAGAUAUAGGAAGGAACACCAGUGGCGAAGGCGACCACCUGGACUGAUACUGACACUGAGGUGCGAAAGCGUGGGGAGCAAACAGGAUUAGAUACCCUGGUAGUCCACGCCGUAAACGAUGUCAACUAGCCGUUGGGAGCCUUGAGCUCUUAGUGGCGCAGCUAACGCAUUAAGUUGACCGCCUGGGGAGUACGGCCGCAAGGUUAAAACUCAAAUGAAUUGACGGGGGCCCGCACAAGCGGUGGAGCAUGUGG